CAAGUUAUCGUUUAUUUGAUAGUACCUUACUACUUGGAUAACCGUGGUAAUUCUAGAGCCCAUACAUGCUAAAAAUCCCGACUUCGGAAGGGAUGUAUUUAUUAGAUUAAAAACCAAUGCCCUCUGGGGUCCUUGGUGAUUCAUGAUAACUUCUCGAAUCGCAUGGGCUUGGGCCGGCGAUGGGUCAUUCCAAUUUCUUCCCUAUCAACUUUCGAUGUUUGGGUAGUGGGCCAACAUGGUUGCCACGGGUAACGGAGGGUUAGGGCUCGACCCCGGAGAAGGAGCCUGAGAAACGGCUACUACCUCCAAGGAAGGGAGCAGGCGCGCAAAUUACCCAAUCCCGACACGGGGAGGUAGUGACCAUAAAUACUGAUACAGGGCUCUUUUGGGUCUUGGAAUUGGAAUGAGUACCAUUUAAAUCCCUUAACGAGGAACAAUUGGAGGGCAAGUCUGGUGGCAGCAGCCGCGGUAAUUCCAGCUCCAAUAGCGUAUAUUAAAGUUGUUGUGGUUAAAAAGCUCGUAGUUGAACCUUGGGCCUGGCUGGCCGGUCCGCCUCACCGCGUGUACUGGUCCGGCCGGGCCUUUCCUUCUGUGGAACCCCAUGCCCUUCACUGGGUGUGGCGGGGAAACAGGACUUUUACUUUGAACAAAUUAGAGUGCUUCAGGCAGGGCUAUGCUCGAAUACAUUAGCAUGGAAUAAUAGAAUAGGACGUGUGGUUCUAUUUUGUUGGUUUCUAGGACCGCCGUAAUGAUUAAUAGGGACAGUCGGGGGCAUCAGUAUUCAAUUGUCAGAGGUGAAAUUCUUGGAUUUAUUGAAGACUAACUACUGCGAAAGCAUUUGCCAAGGAUGUUUUCAUUAAUCAGGAACGAAAGUUAGGGGAUCGAAGACGAUCAGAUACCGUCGUAGUCUUAACCAUAAACUAUGCCGACUAGGGAUCGGACGAUGUUACUUAUUGACUCGUUCGGCACCUUACGAGAUAAUCAAAGUGCUUGGGCUCCAGGGGGAGUAUGGUCGCAAGGCUGAAACUUAAAGAAAUUGACGGACAGGGCACCACCCAGGGGUGGAGCCUGCGGCUUAAUUUGACUCAACACGGGGAAACUCACCAGGUCCAGACACAAUGAGGAUUGACAGAUUGAGAGCUCUUUCUUGAUUUUGUGGGUGGUGGUGCAUGGCCGUUCUUAGUUGGUGGAGUGAUUUGUCUGCUUAAUUGCGAUAACGAACGAGACCUUAACCUGCUAAAUAGCCCGUAUUGCUUUGGCAGUACGCUGGCUUCUUAGAGGGACUAUCGGCUCAAGCCGAUGGAAGUUUGAGGCAAUAACAGGUCUGUGAUGCCCUUAGAUGUUCUGGGCCGCACGCGCGCUACACUGACGGAGCCAGCGAGUACUCCCUUGGCCGGAAGGUCCGGGUAAUCUUGUUAAACUCCGUCGUGCUGGGGAUAGAGCAUUGCAAUUAUUGCUCUUCAACGAGGAAUCCCUAGUAAGCGCAAGUCAUCAGCGUUGC
rnacentral:rRNA from 1 species